GAUGAACGCUGGCGGCGUGCCUAAUACAUGCAAGUCGAGCGAACAGACGAGGAGCUUGCUCCUCUGACGUUAGCGGCGGACGGGUGAGUAACACGUGGAUAACCUACCUAUAGGACUGGGAUAACUUCGGGAAACCGGAGCUAAUACCGGAUAAUAUAUUGAACCGCAUGGUUCAAUAGUGAAAGACGGUUUUGCUGUCACUUAUAGAUGGAUCCGCGCCGCAUUAGUUAGUUGGUAAGGUAACGGCUUACCAAGGCGACGAUGCGUAGCCGACCUGAGAGGGGGAUCGGCCACUCUGGAGCUGAGAGGCGGUCCAGGCUCCGACGGGAGGCAGCAGUAGGGAAUCUACCGCAAAGGGCGAAAGCCUGAGGGAGGGGCGGAGGGUGGGUGAUGAAGGGCUGCGGGUCGGAAAACGCUGUUAUUAGGGAAGAACAAAUGUGUAAGUAACGAUGCACGUCUUGACGGUACCUAAUCAGAAAGCCACGGCUAACUACGG
rnacentral:rRNA from 1 species